rnacentral:lncRNA from 1 species
CUUUUCUGGCCUCUGCAGCUGCGCGGGCGGGCGUGGUUGCCGGGGACGCGCGGCCCCCGAUCGGGCAUUGCAGGCGGCGAAACGACUUGGGAAGGCCCUUUCGGGCAGGCAGUAACGUGCGAAAGAAAGACGCUCCAGCGUCUUCCUAGGCCAGUUUCUUGUUGCUGUGCUGCACGGGACGCAGCUCCUUUCGCUGGGCCACGUGUUGCUGCUCCGCUUGAGCGGCCCUGAAUUCUGGGCGCUGGUGAUCGCUGAGUGAAUCGCAGCUGCUUCCCUGUCCUUGAGGGCGUCUUUUGGGCACUCAGGCGAGUCUUUAGAAGAAGCCCAGAAGAAAAUGACACCAGAGAGGCUGAAGAGCAGAGCAGAGAUUUCACAGUGGCUGUAGCAGUACUACUGGAGAAAAAGAAUAAGCAAAGACUGAAGAACUGGGAAAAGAGAGAAUGGGUUUCAAGCCCUGCCAAGGUGAAGGGUGGUGGAGGCCAAAAGAAUGAGGGUCGUGAUCAACUCAGUAUACCACUGGAGGCUAUAUGAGUAAACAGCAAACUGUUCUCAUGAAUGCAGGAUGUUGGCAAGCUGACAACUAUGUCGGCACCCAGAAGGAAUGCUGAGGGCAGUCACGCCCCAGGCACGGUGUUUCUUGUGGUUAGGCACAUCUGAGGCCUGUUAGCAAUGAUGUGAACCCGUGAUCAAUCAAACAGCUGACCAAUCGUUACCUCCUCCUCCCUGCUCUUUCUACCCAAUAAAUACGAAGGGCUGCAGAAGCUCAGGGCUGCCUUUGCUCACUAGAAGCAAGGAGUCCCCUGACCCGUUCUUUAAAACAAAUCCUUUUUUUCUUUGUCUUCAUUUCUGUGUUCAUCCUCCUUCGUUCAGUCCCGUAGUAACUGUCACAGGAGGGAAUUGGUAAACACUGUAGGCUUUCAGUUGAGACCCCUAAAAGACUGUGCUCAAUAGUAAGGAUCACAUUGUAGGAGUAAGGUCAGUGUCUUGGAAAUAGGGCAAAACUGAAAUAAAUCAGCCCUGAGAAAGCCCAAAGCUAGCAAUAGCAAACUAUUUUCCAAAGAUGGCCACAAUACUAUGACUCCUGUCUUACAUGUGCUUCUAGAAUCUUGUCAUUGCCUCAUCAAAAGAUGAGUCUAUAUUUCUUUCUCUUGAACCUGGGUAUCCCUUUGUGAUUGCUUCAAUAGAGCAUGGCAGGAAUAAGUAAAGAUGCCAUGUAUAUCCACUGCAUUCUCUUGGGAUGCUUGCUCCUGAAACUCAGCCACCAUACUACGAGGAAGCCCAAGCAGCUUGUGAGAAGGAAGUGAGGCCUCUAGUCCAUAGCCCUUGUUGAGUUUCCAGCUGAUGGCCAGUGCCAGUUGGCCAGUCAUGUGAGUGACCAUCUUGAAAGUGGGCCCUCCAGCCUCCAGCUGAGCUGACCCAGAUCAUGUUGAGUAGAGAGGAAAAGAAUGAUUCCUGCUAAGUCCUACCCAAAUUGCAGAUUCAUUAAUAAAAUAUUAUUUUUCAGUUUUGGGGGUUGUUUCUUAUGUAAUAAUAGAUAGCUAAAACAUCAAGUCUUGACAGGAUUAAGUGAUCUCCUAGUAUUCCAUUUGCCCUUCAGGAAAAAAAACCCAUCCCUUUGGGGAAAGAUAACAUUAUUCACAGCCUCUAUAAUUUUUCAUCCACAUGUCUGACAUCUAGUAAAAAUUACAAGCCAUGAUAAAAGUAGGGCUGAUGAUAAACAAGAGGAAAACAAAUGACAACAAAAAUACACCCAGGUGGUUCAGAUAUUGGAAUAUCAGACUGGGAUUUUAAAAAUAAUUAUAACCACUAUGUUCAAGAAAAUAGAAAGCUGGAGAAUUUCACCAGAGAGUUGGAAUUUAUAAAUAACAGUCAAAAGGAAAUACAACCACUUUGGAGAGCAAUUCUGUAAGAUCUAAAAAGAUCGAAGAACCACAUGCUGAUGACCCACGAUUCUGCUUCUAGAUGUCUACCUUAGAGCAACUCUCAGAAUUGUGCAAGGAGAUAUAUACAAAAUGUUGGCUGGAGCGCAGUUUGCAAUAGCCGAAAAGUGGAAACAGCCUAACUAUCCCUAUGCAGAGGAAUGGAUAAACUGUGGCUUAUUCAUGAGAUGGAACAUAGUAGAGCCUUCAAACAUGUGCUCAUGUAUCCGCAGGGAUAAAUCCCCCAACAUAAUGUUGAUUGAGGAAAAGCAUGUAAUGUGAGUCAUUCAUGAAAAGGUUUAAAACUCCGGAAACAGUACGAUACACACAUGUGAUUAAAAAGUACAAAAUAUGCAUGGAAAUAAUUAAAUCUAGUCUGUAUAAUAGUUACGUUUGGGGAGGGAGGAAGAAAGAAGGAUUGGGUGGGGCUUGAAGUGCAUCUGUAAUGUUUUAUUUCUAUUACGAAGGAAGAUAAACCUGAAGUAAAUAUUGCAAAAUGUUAACAUCUGUGGAAUCUUGUGAUAGUGUACAUGGUUGUCUGUACUCAUUUGUAUGCGGGAAUAUUUCAUAAUUUUUAAAAAAGCAUGCCAAAAUAAGAUUUUUUUAAAUAAAGAAAAAAUGCUAACAUUUUUACUAGCGCAUUUUUUGAUGGCAACAAUUCCAAUCCAAGACUCUGGCUUCCUGCCUUUCUUCCCUAGUUCUUUCCUUGAGCAUUUACUGUUUGCCUGCUAUGCUCUAGGCAUUAGGCUGGCACCGGGGAUACAGAGAUUUUCAAACUUGUUCUCUAAUGGUUGUUGAGGGGGACAGUGAUGAAGGAACCAGCUUGUUCCAGUGUAUAAGCUGCUCCAUCGAGUAGUGCUGUGGGCCCAGCCAGAUCAGGCCGAAUCACCAUUCAGCUUCCUGAGAGGCUCAGAGCCCACAGGUCUUUGAUACUUUGACACUUCUAGUGAGCAUUUUAGUGGGAGUUGUUGCAG